rnacentral:rRNA from 1 species
AUACGGAGGGUGCGAGCGUUAAUCGGAAUUACUGGGCGUAAAGAGUACGUAGGCGGUUUGGCCAGUCUGAUGUGAAAGCCCCGGGCUUAACCUGGGAACUGCAUUGGAUACUGUCAGACUUGAGUACAGGAGAGGAGAGUGGAAUUUCCAGUGUAGCGGUGAAAUGCGUAGAUAUUGGAAGGAACACCAGUGGCGAAGGCGGCUCUCUGGACUGAUACUGACGCUGAGGUACGAAAGCGUGGGGAGCAAACAGGAUUAGAUACCCCAGUAGUCC